UGGGGAAUAUUGGGCAAUGGAGGAAACUCUGACCCAGCAACGCCGCGUGAAUGAUGAAGGUCUUCGGAUUGUAAAGUUCUUUUCUAAGGGAAGAAGAAAGUGACGGUACCUUAGGAAUAAGCCUCGGCUAACUACGUGCCAGCAGCCGCGGUAAUACGUAGGAGGCAAGCGUUAUCCGGAAUGACUGGGCGUAAAGGGUGCGUAGGUGGUUUGACAAGUUGGUAGCGUAACUCCGGGGCUCAACCUCGGCACUACUACCAAAACUGUCGGACUUGAGUGCAGGAGGGGCAAAUGGAAUUCCUA
rnacentral:rRNA from 1 species